rnacentral:rRNA from 1 species
GAAAGCGUGGGUAGCAANCAGGAUUAGAUACCCUGGUAGUCCACGCCCUAAACGAUGUCGAUUAGCUGUUGGGCAGCUUGACUGCUUAGUAGCGUAGCUAACGCGUGAAAUCGACCGCCUGGGGAGUACGGUCGCAAGAUUAAAACUCAAAGGAAUUGACGGGGACCCGCACAAGCGGUGGAUGAUGUGGAUUAAUUCGAUGCAACGCGAAGAACCUUACCUGGUCUUGACAUGUACGGAACCCUCCAGAGACGGAGGGGUGCCUUCGGGAACCGUAACACAGGUGCUGCAUGACUGUCGUCAGCUCGUGUCGUGAGAUGUUGGGUUAAGUCCCGCAACGAGCGCAACCCUUGUCAUUAGUUGCCAUCAUUCAGUUGGGUACUCUAAUGAGACUGCCGGUGACAAACCGGAGGAAGGUGGGGAUGACGUCAAGUCCUCAUGGCCCUUAUGACCAGGGCUUCACACGUCAUACAAUGGUCGGUACAAAGGGUAGCCAAGCCGCGAGGCGGAGCCAAUCUCAUAAAACCGAUCGUAGUCCGGAUUGCACUCUGCAACUCGAGUGCAUGAAGUCGGAAUCGCUAGUAAUCGCAGGUCAGCAUACUGCGGUGAGUACGUUCCCGGGUCUUGUACACACCGCCCGUCACACCAUGGGAGUGGGGGAUACCAGA